rnacentral:misc_RNA from 1 species
UCUCCGUAGGUGAACCUGCGGAGGGAUCAUUACUGAGUGAGGGCUCACGCCCGACCUCCAACCCUUUGUGAACCAAACUUGUUGCUUCGGGGGCGACCCUGCCGACGACUUCGUCGCCGGGCGCCCCCGGAGGUCUUCCAAACACUGCAUCUUUGCGUCGGAGUCUUAAUGAAUUUAAACAAAACUUUUAACAACGGAUCUCUUGGUUCUGGCAUCGAUGAAGAACGCAGC